AAAAAAUAAUGUUUUUAAGUAAGGAUCUAUUCUAUAUAUUCAUAUUCUGUAUUUUUUUAAAAAUCAAAGUGGAUGCAUUAUCGUGUCGUCCAUGUAAGACACUCUUUACUAAAUGUGUCGAUCCUCCCUCUAAUUGUACAGGAGGUCUCGUUAAGGAUGUCUGCGAUUGCUGCAAGAUUUGCGCAAAAGUAAAAGGGGAAGUAUGUGGAGGGAUUUAUAAUUACCUUGGUAAAUGUGAUAAAGGAUUGAUGUGUGAUUUAAAGGAUCCUAAGGAUGCGAAUUCAAUGGGAACAUGUAUCAAA